ACCAGUUCCCCCCGCGACAUCGAAGCGGACGCACGUUCUGAAGUUUUGGCGCCAUCCCGGUGCGUGAGACCGGUGUCACCGAUUAUCAUGUCAUUCGAAAAUGAACAGCGUCGGCUCGAGUCUCUUUUACAAGAAGUACUCAAUGAGGACGGGCCAUCAACGCCAUCAGACAUCGCCAUCAGACAAGUGCAAAAAAUAUUUGUGUCUUGAACAUGUAGUGCCUUUCUGCAGAAGCUGUUUGACUGAAGAAUAGUCAUUUUUUAGAUUAAUUUUUUGUUAUUUUUUUUGUUGGUAUGAUGCCACUUUUUGUUUAUUUUAUGUAAGUUCCUAGUGUCCUAAAAGAGAUAAGACUGAACUUAUAUAUAAAAUAUAUUGAUAUUUGUGUUUUCUAUUAUCUAACAAAAGUUAUGUUUAAAAAGUUAACAAAUUUUCUUGUUUUAAGUGUCAUUGUUUUAAAAUAAAUAAAAAUAUAAUAAACGUACUGUGAUUAACAAAAUAUCUUUGUUUUAUUAUCAAAGAACAUAUAUACAUAAAUAUAAAAUAGAUAGUA
rnacentral:misc_RNA from 1 species